rnacentral:rRNA from 1 species
GUGGGGAAUAUUGGACAAUGGGCGAAAGCCUGAUCCAGCCAUGCCGCGUGUGUGAAGAAGGUCUUCGGAUUGUAAAGCACUUUAAGUUGGGAGGAAGGGCAGUAAGUUAAUACCUUGCUGUUUUGACGUUACCAACAGAAUAAGCACCGGCUAACUUCGUGCCAGCAGCCGCGGUAAUACGAAGGGUGCAAGCGUUAAUCGGAAUUACUGGGCGUAAAGCGCGCGUAGGUGGUUCAGCAAGUUGAAGGUGAAAUCCCCGGGCUCAACCUGGGAACUGCCUCCAAAACUGCAUGACUAGAGUACGGUAGAGGGUAGUGGAAUUUCCUGUGUAGCGGUGAAAUGCGUAGAUAUAGGAAGGAACACCAGUGGCGAAGGCGACUACCUGGACUGAUACUGACACUGAGGUGCGAAAGCGUGGGGAGCAAACAGGAUUAGAAACCCUUGUAGUCC